AGAGAAUAGUUUAUAUAAAAAUAUUAAUUUUGGAGAUUAAUGAAGGGUUGAACCUUUCUCUGAU
rnacentral:tRNA from 1 species